UCGGUGUUGAGGUUGGCUGUGGAGGUAACAGGGCCCGUCGGCUUCCUGUUGCCCAAGGCCUGUGAAGAUAGGGGCGUCCUGGUCUUCACUUUUUACCACGUGAUGUUGGAAAAAGCCGUGGAGAACGCUUCAGCCUCCUUCCCUCCUUCGAAGGCCGUGGGAUGUGUCCACACCCGGUUCUGAGGAGGGGAGACGGGGGCCCCCACCACCGCACGGACGAGGCCGUGUGCCCAUUUUCCUACGGACUCAUGCGUGAGCCCCCAGCCGCCCUAACAGCCGUGGAAGGGGAGCAGACUAUCUCUACCUCAACAGCCUACACUCUGAGUGAACGAACGAUCGUCAUAGAUACAGAAGAACGAAGCGUGACAUUAUGUAAACCUGGGCUGGGCUCCUGCUUCCUGGAUGAUCCUCCCUGUUUCUUAUUUCGCCCACAUCUCCGUUUUCACACCUUUAAAUCAUGAGCAGCACUAGGCACUUGAAGGAGCCACACAUUUUUGGCAAAACCUGGCUGCUGAGGAGUCGGAGGGUUUCCAGGGAAGUUCUGUAACAUAAGGUGGUCACAGGGGAGUGAAAUGCCUGGACGCGGGCUUCCCGUGCCGGCCUGAGCAAGAGCGAGCUACAGGGCCCCGUCCUUGCACGUGGGCCGCCCCCUCGGGGUCUCACCCGGCCACUGACUUUUCGGUCUCAUGUUUUCUUCUGCGACUUGUGUCUGUGGCCCCGUGAGACAGGUGACGAUGGGCACCCUCUACAAGAGGAGGUCACGUCCACCGCUGGGACGGAAGGGCCACUCGAAGGGGCUCCCGGUUGGAUCACGGAUGAAUGGGAGCUGCUGGGGCGGCACCUGAGGUCAGGGAAGAGGGGAGAAUUACACACACGUGUAGAACAUGCACGUGGGGUCCGGGGCUCGGGCUCAGGGAGAGGCUCCCCAGGCAGGGAGGCAGGGUCUGGACACAGCUGGGCAUCUGCUAAGUGCAGACAAGGCCCUGAGGACACUCCUGCUGACACAUUGCUGACCGGGACACCUGGAUGAAAUGGUCUGGACGCUAAUGGAGCAACCUUGUCCACAGCUGUAAGAGUUCUCAAAUCUCGGAGCACAGACGCUCCCCGGAGCACCAGAGUGCCUCGCGGCUGACCGUGCCCGUUCAGAGAGGAUCACGGACCGCAAAAGCCAAGUACUUUCUCCAGGCUCGGCUAGCAGAGAGGAAAUGAAGCCCCACCCGGGAGCGACACCCUGCUCGCCCCCCACCCUGCGCCCCGGAGACGUCUUCCUGCCAGCACCUUCCCCCGUGGGGCCCCGGUGACGGCACGCACGGGCUGCCCAGCUCACCCUGCUCUGGCAGAACUUUCCAGGUAUUUUUGCAAGCACUCCACGGCGAUCGAUCAGACAAGGCACCGACUUUGGAGAUCAGAACCAAACCUUUCAGGAUGCGCGCUGACAAGGUCUGUACAUGAGAUAACAUCUCUUCGCUCGGGCUCCUGCUGGCCAAGUCGUGUCAUUACGUACGUUCAGGACAGGUUCCAGAGGCGCCCUCCUGAUGGCCCUGUCGCCUCCACUGUGCUCCUUCGUGCCCACCAGCAGUCCCACACACAGCGCCCCCACAGGGCAGGACCCUGGUCUCAUCUUUAAGGGCCCCAGAGGCCUUCAGCAUCUCCGUGACCAGGGGUGGCUUUCCACGCCCGGGAUGGCCCACGUCAGGUGCCGGGACACCUGCGCCCUCCCGGGGCUCGCCACGCCCAGGCCACACCCUCCACAUCUGUCGUCUUCUGCUGGUAGAAACGCACCUGUGUGUCUCCCUUUCAGUGUUGCCGUCUGUUCUCUCCACAAGUCAAAAUGUGUCGAAAGCCCCACGGUAAGCCCUUCCCAACCAGUAGUUAUCCUCAAGGACAGAGGGCCAAUCCCUACCUUCGGGGCAAGUUUUAAAUGAUGGAAUGCUUAUUAAGGGUACAGCGCAAGGCCCGACACGCAGCAGGUGUCCAACAGAUGGAGAUAGAAGCUGUUAUUUGUAGUGCUAACAUUAUCCUUAUAAUUAUAACUUACUGUUAUUAACCCUUG